rnacentral:antisense_RNA from 1 species
AGCCAGGGCUGCGGUGCGCCUGCACGUCACGGCUACUCAAACCCAAGCACGUCCCGAAAGCGGUAUUUUCUGCGUCUGGGAGGUUUUUGCAUCCUCAGUUCCCACCGCUGGGGCUGGCGGCGACCAACUAAGUCCCACUUUACCAUUAAUGAUGACAAUAACUAAAGCUGCCAGGAACAGCACAUCUUCUGACCUUUAUCAACACCAGAUUGUCUCAUUUUGCCUUCUGGAUCCCCAUGCUCUUUUAUACCAACAAACAAGAGGUAUAAGUGGGUAUCUCUACCCACUUCCUUGACUGAAGCCUGCUCUUUUAUGAAGACAUGGCAUCUUUUCCAACCAUGUCAAACAGAUGCAAUUUAUGUGUAUGCUGCUUCCACACCCUGAUUAAAUGGGUCAGUGGCAGAAUCAGUAUCCUUACUCUCCCCUUUGGUUUCAAAUAUUUAUUCCUCAUUUCACUUUCAUGCUCACCUUUCUAUAGAGAUCAAGGCAUCUGCCUUUGCAGCUUUACCUCUUCCUCCAGGUUAUAUUUUCCAUUCAUGGAAUCUUUCAGCUGCUGGCUCGCAGUUUUCCUGACUACCUGACUUCCAUUCCUCUUCUCAUGACUUCAGCUCCCAUGCAGAUGUCUUAUCCUGACACACUAACUUCUCCAUUCUAUUUCUGUGUGUGUGUGUGUGUGUGUGUUUUCCUACUAGUUCAACCGCAAUUCCCUA